AUCAAGAGUAAUUUUUUACAGUGUAGUUUUUAAUUUUAAGUAUUGGUAGAAAUGGAGAGGGUUAAGGAUAUAGAAUAAGGUUUUGCAGAAUAAGUCAUUAAUAUGUGCUAUUUAUAUAGUAUUUAUACGGCCACCGUGUAAUAAACAGCCAACAUCUUAGUAAUAUUAAUGCUAAUAACCAACCAGUGAGAAUUGUAAACUAUUACCUUUAUUCUUAUUAACUUACCAAAAUAUUUAAAGUGAGAAGGUGCCAGGGAUGUGAGGCAGAACCCAAGUAGUGAUGUUACACUCUUAAAAUUGAUGUGUUAAAAUUUUACACAAAAUAUGUGUAAAAGGAUUCCAACACAUUUUUGUGUUAGAACUGACACAUAAUGUGUAAAUAUUAUGCUUAACUGCUUACACAAUAAAUGUGUGAAACACGUUUACCAGUACACCAUAAAAUAAAAUGCAUAAUUAUUGUAAUUUAAUGAUGAUUUAUAUUUAAACGAAGUAACAAAAUAAAAUAUAUCUACUGUUAACCAAAAUAUAUCUACUGUUAACCACUACUACCACAUAACAGCCAGCGGGGAUUUUCAUAAGGACUUGCCGAGAUCAAGCUGCGUUGGGCGGGGUACAUUAGCGCUGAGUAUCCGGUGGUUGUCUGGAUCAGAACUCCGAAAGAGUCGGAGCAGAUUUUUUAAUAAACGCUAUCUUUAUAAACCGACCGCACAUUUGAUCUUUUUAUACAUACAUUCUCGCCUAAAUAGCUUUUGAAUAUAGCCUACAUUUUGUGACACAAUAAGAGUAAUAUUUCGAACAUUAUGCAGGCGUUCUCUUCCAUUGGUGGCUGUUGUAAGUUCACACGAGUCAGCUGAUGACGUUUCACUUGGACAGACAACCACGCAUUGUUGUAUAUAUUUUUGCAUGUGUUAUUAUUAUUUUAUUAUUAUGAAAUUCGUGAACAUUAUUAUUGAGCCUUGGCAGUCUAUUUUGUAUUUGUCUUAUUGAGGAGAAAAAAACAGACAAGAACGCAUAUUGUGUUGCGCCUGCGCUGUGACGUUUUUUUUUUCAACCGCAUUUCCAGUCAAGAGGUCAAGAAUGUUCCUGUCUGCAUCAGGUAAGAAUUUAAAUAAAAAAUUACCGUUAUAAUAUGAUAUCUAUUUUUCAUAUAGUGUAAGAAACUUUAGCAUUAAUUGUGCAGGAGACUGUUCAUUUAAACUUUAUUGUGGUAACGUUAAAUGCUCGCUCGUUUUGCAAAGUUACGUUUGGAGAUUCAUGUUAACAGUCAUUGUUUGAUGAAAGGCACAUUGGACUACGGGUUUAUGUGUGACACUUGCAGCACUUUAACGUAAAUCUGUAACACCGUGUCCUAAGUAGACGUGACUCGCGGUAACGGGUUUCUUUUCAGUUUAUGUCCUGACGUUAAUAGGACGGGAUAUUAUAAAGUAUGCCUUUCCAUUAUCGCGACGCCUCGUCGCGUUUGGUUAAGCACAUGGUGGAUCAGUAUGCACGUCACUGUACCUACUGUACACCUGUGAGCGGCAUGACGAGACAAGACGGUAAAACUCAUUAUUAUUCGGUGAUGCUGUAACAUACUGGAUGCACCGCCACAUUUUAUAAUAAUGUUUUUUAUUUUCGUGUCGCGCCCUCGCGUUCAACAUAACGUAGUGGUCUAACUGUAAGGAGUCAAACUUUACGAACCUUUCACUGCUUGCAGUAAGGCUGAAGUGCUAGGUAGUGAAUAAAAGGGGUGUAGUCUUGUGCUACUAGAUGUAAAUCACAAUUCUUGUGUCAAUGUUUGUUUGUGAUCUUUUUCAGCUAUCCAUCUGAAAAAGAAAAGCUGGCACUCGCAAAGGAGAUUGUGUUUUUGGAUUAUGGUCUCAUUUGGUCAAAAUGAGGGACAUGUACUGAGCAUUUUUCUUUAUUUUUUUAUUUUUAUUUUUUUGAUGGGCCAUCACACAGUGGAUUUAUAAAAAUGAGACUACAGAACAUCAGACGGAAGCUUCAAUGGAGUUGACGUGAGAGGACAUCAUCAAUAAAGAAUGCCAUUGACCAAACCUUCAGUCAUCAAAGGAGAUGGAUACAGGUGGACAUUGAGUUUUCCAGACUUACCGAUAGGAAAGAAGACAUGUUUAUCAGGAAAUGGGAGGUGGAAAUAGCAUCUUUAGAGAAGAAAAUGGACAUCAGACAUUCAUUGAAGAAAGCUGACAGACAUAAUGAUCUUCUGCUGUGUGAAUUCUGCUGUCUCAGACCUGUGGGACUUGGUGGCGGCUGGUACCAGCGUGACCUCUUUGCUUACUAAAUGAUGAAAAGGUGUCUAAAAUCAGCUCGGCCACAGUUGGUUUCCAGCGGUUCUUCAGGACAUAGAGGCCACUAUGUAAUUGUCGCAAUGAAUGAUUCUCUUGGCUUUCCAUUUGAUGUUUACAAUCUGACCUGUGCGGUAGACAGACUUUUCAAAUUUUCUAGCUAAGUAACCUUAAGUAUCCCUGCCAACUGUCUUCAGUUUUUUUCUUUGGUAUGAAUAUGAUCUACCCUUGUUCCAGUCCUCUUGCAAACGAUCCAAGGCAAUGGAGUUUCAAAAUGGACCGCAAAAUUGCAGUCUGUUUUAACCAAUGCAUGCACUGUGUGGUGGUUUCCCGGACAGGGAUUAGACUAGUCCUAGACUAAAACAUUUUUAAGAGCUGUCCAAACUGAAAACAACUUGCACUGACAUAUCUUAAAAUACAUCAGUGCCCUUUGUUUUGCCUCAAAAUGCACACAGGUAAUGUUUUUAGUAAGGCAUGUUUGUUAAAACCAGAUAUAUUUCCUAAUUAAACUAAGGCCUAGUCCUGGAUUAAAAUAAUCCCUGUCCGGGAAACCACCCCUAAAUAUUUUGUGAUGGAAAUUUCUUUGAAUACACUUGUCAAGUUCAUUUGAAGUAUUUUUCUUAAUGUAAAAUAACGUGUUAAUGUUUCAGGACAAGGUAAGAAUUUUUGAUAACUUGCAUGUUGAAAACGAUUUCAGACAUUGUUUCAACAUGUUUAACACAUGUGCUUUUAAAUUCAAUGAAUUGUUUUAUAAAUGGUGUUUUUUAUGUAUGAAUGUAAUGUAUGUUUGAAGUGUUUAUACUUGCACUUACAUUUAUUUAAAUUAGCAUACAUCUUGCAACAUACAGUACUAGCAUAUUUUCAUGCUAGCAUUAAUUGUCAAAUAUUUAUUAUUUUACAAAUAAAUCGUUUGUGAACAAUAUUUAAUAGUUGUCUGCUUGAUUUCAUUAUUUAAAGUUUACAAAUCGUAUGUUUUUUUUUCUCUUUUAUAUUAAAACUAAACAAUUACUGGGUAACACACA